rnacentral:ncRNA from 1 species
UAAAAGGCUCUUUUAAGAGCCACUUGCACAUUUCAAAAAGAAUCA